UACGGAGGGUGCAAGCGUUAUCCGGAAUCACUGGGUUUAAAGGGUGCGUAGGCGGAUAUUUAAGUCAGUGGUGAAAUCUUGUCGCUUAACGAUAAAAUUGCCAUUGAUACUGAAUGUCUUGAAUUGGGUUGAGGUUAGCGGAAUGUGACAUGUAGCGGUGAAAUGCAUAGAUAUGUCAUGGAACACCAAUUGCGAAGGCAGCUAGCUGGGCCUUGAUUGACGCUGAGGCACGAAAGCGUGGGUAGCGAACAGG
rnacentral:rRNA from 1 species